CAACUAUCAAGUACUAUACAUCUACCAUUUUACAAUGUUGUUUAAUCUCUUUUGCAUUAACAGUUUAAUUUUAAUUCAUACCCAUUUGUGAAUAAUACCUUUAAAGUUUUAAUCCUUUACAAUUGCACACAUAUUUAUAUUGUCAUUUUUCUUUCUAUAAAACUGAGGUUUGGGGUUUUCUCCUGUUUGUUUAUUGUUUAAUGUUGGUGAUUGAACUUAGCACUUCAGAAUGCUAAGCACUGUAUUUCUGAGCUACACCCAAUUCCCUCACCUGGUAUAUUUUAGAGCCUGCAUGCCUCAUAAUACUAAACUACCCUUCUGUUGUAUUUCCUUCAUGUAAGAAGUCAUAUCUGCACUUCCAAUCUUAUUCUAAUGUUCUAUUUAUUCAUCUUAAAAAUCAUACCAACUUCUAAAUCACAGCAUGUGAAAAAAAUACUUUUUCUGUGUUCAUUGCAAAAUUAAACAUCUUUUUGUGAUUGAUAUGGGACUCCCAUAAUUGUUUAUUAUUUUAUUUCCUUUACAUUUACUGUUCUAACUUAACCAAUAUUUUCUUACAUUCACUUUUGCUGAUAUUUAGAACAUCA
rnacentral:lncRNA from 1 species